rnacentral:rRNA from 1 species
AUGAAGGAUUUAGGAGUGGCUGAUGUCAUUCUGAACAUCAAGUUGUUGAGAGAUUAUGAUGGUGGGAUUACAUUGCUUCAAUCUCACUAUGUGGAAAAGAUAAAGGCCACGAGCGGAUAUGUGUUCACUCAUGGAGGUGGCACUGUUUCUUGGAAGUCUUGCAAGCAGACCAUCUUAACGAGGUCAACUAUGGAAGCAGAACUCACAGCACUAGAUACAGCUACGGUCGAAGCAGAUUGGCUUCGCCGGCUCUUGAAUGACUUGCCGGUUGUUGAGAAACCUGUACCGGGUAUCCUUAUGAACUGUGACAAUCAAACUGUGAUCACGAAAGUGAACAGCUCUAAGGAUAACAUGAAGUCAUCAAGACACGUUCAGAGAAGGUUAAAGUCUGUCAGGAAAAUGAGAAACUCCGGAGUUAUUGCAUUGGAUUAUAUCCAAACGUCUAAAAAUCAGGCAGAUCCUUUUACUAAGGGUCUAUCGCGUAAUGUGAUAGAUAAUGCAUCAAGGGAGAUGGGUAUGAGACCCACAAUAUGA